CUGGUUGAUUCUGCCAGUAGUCAUAUGCUUGUCUCAAAGAUUAAGCCAUGCAUGUCUAAGUAUAAGCAAUUAUACAGCGAAACUGCGAAUGGCUCAUUAUAUAAGUUAUCGUUUAUUUGAUAGUACCUUACUACUUGGAUAACCGUGGUAAUUCUAGAGCUAAUACAUGCUAAAAAUCCCGACUUCGGAAGGGAUGUAUUUAUUAGAUUAAAAACCAAUGCCCUCUGGGCUCUCUGGUGAUUCAUAAUAACUUCUCGAAUCGCAUGGCCUUGCGCCGGCGAUGGUUCAUUCAAAUUUCUUCCCUAUCAACUUUCGAUGUUUGGGUAGUGGCCAAACAUGGUUGCAACGGGUAACGGAGGGUUAGGGCUCGACCCCGGAGAAGGAGCCUGAGAAACGGCUACUACAUCCAAGGAAGGCAGCAGGCGCGCAAAUUACCCAAUCCCGACACGGGGAGGUAGUGACAAUAAAUACUGAUACAGGGCUCUUUUGGGUCUUGUAAUUGGAAUGAGUACAAUUUAAAUCCCUUAACGAGGAACAAUUGGAGGGCAAGUCUGGUGCCAGCAGCCGCGGUAAUUCCAGCUCCAAUAGCGUAUAUUAAAGUUGUUGUGGUUAAAAAGCUCGUAGUUGAACCUUGGGCCUGGCUGGCCGGUCCGCCUCACCGCGUGUACUGGUCCGGCCGGGCCUUUCCCUCUGUGGAACCCCAUGCCCUUCACUGGGUGUGGCGGGGAAACAGGACUUUUACUUUGAAAAAAUUAGAGUGCUCCAGGCAGGCCUAUGCUCGAAUACAUUAGCAUGGAAUAAUGAAAUAGGACGUGCGGUUCUAUUUUGUUGGUUUCUAGGACCGCCGUAAUGAUUAAUAGGGACAGUCGGGGGCAUCAGUAUUCAAUUGUCAGAGGUGAAAUUCUUGGAUUUAUUGAAGACUAACUACUGCGAAAGCAUUUGCCAAGGAUGUUUUCAUUAAUCAGGAACGAAAGUUAGGGGAUCGAAGACGAUCAGAUACCGUCGUAGUCUUAACCAUAAACUAUGCCGACUAGGGAUCGGACGAUGUUAUUUUUUGACUCGUUCGGCACCUUACGAGAAAUCAAAGUGCUUGGGCUCCA
rnacentral:ncRNA from 1 species